rnacentral:rRNA from 1 species
AAGUUCGGACGGGCCCCGCACAAGCAGCGGAGCGUGUGGUUUAAUUCGUUGCUACACGAAGAACCUUACCUGGGUUUGACAUAAUGGUGGUAGGGAUCCGAAAGGUGACCGACCUUCGGGGAGCCAUUUACAGGUGUUGCAUGGCUGUCGUCAGCUCGUGUCGUGAGAUGUUCGGUUAAGUCCGCUAACGAGCGCAACCCUCGCUGUGUGUUAUAUGUGUCACACAGGACUGCUGGUAUUAAGCCGGAGGAAGGUGGGACGACGUCAAGUCAGCAUGACCUUUAUAUCCAGGGCUACACACACGCUACAAUGGUCAGUACAAUGGGUUGCCAAGCCGCGAGGCGGAGCCAAUCCUAAAAAGCUGGCCUCAGUUCAGAUUGCAGUCUGAAACUCGACUGCAUGAAGUCGGAGUUGCUAGUAAACGCAGGUCAGCUAUACUGCGUUGAAUACGUUCCCGGGGCUU